CUACUCUAAAACUAUCCAUGCAACAAAUUCACCAAGAGAAUAUGGCUAAAGUUUCCUCUAAAACCGGAUCCGUCAUCCUUCUCAUCUUCAUUGUUUUCUGUUUAACAAUUAAUAUGAUGCUGCCAGUAGCAGAAGCAAUAGGAGCUUGUAAAAGCGAUGCAGAUUGUGAAGACCCUUCGACAAGAUGCAGGACCAAACUUCGUUGUUUCAAGGGCAGGUGUGGUUGCGGCAAUGUUUAUGCAACUGAUAGGUUAUCAACUUCAGCUUAUUGUAAAACCAAAAGUGACUGUAAGAAAAAUUAAUGUUCGAACUCUUAAAUGCAUCGGAAGCUGCAUCUAUGUUGAUGGCAAAUGCUAGAAAAAGGUUUCUCUUCUUUUAAUAAAAUUUUAUUUUGAGUUCAAGAAA